UGGGGAAUAUUGGACAAUGGGCGCAAGCCUGAUCCAGCCAUGCCGCGUGAGUGAUGAAGGCCCUAGGGUUGUAAAGCUCUUUUACCGGUGAAGAUAAUGACGGUAACCGGAGAAGAAGCCCUGGCUAACUUCGUGCCAGCAGCCGCGGUAAUACGAAGGGGGCUAGCGUUGUUCGGAUUUACUGGGCGUAAAGCGCACGUAGGCGGACUUUUAAGUCAGGGGUGAAAUCCCGGGGCUCAACCCCGGAACUGCCUUUGAUACUGGAAGUCUUGAGUAUGGUAGAGGUGAGUGGAAUUCCGAGUGUAGAGGUGAAAUUCGUAGAUAUUCGGAGGAACACCAGUGGCGAAGGCGGCUCACUGGACCAUUACUGACGCUGGGGUGCGAAAGCGUGGGGAGCAAACAGG
rnacentral:rRNA from 1 species